rnacentral:rRNA from 1 species
AGAGUUUGAUCCUGGCUCAGGAUGAACGCUGGCGGUAUGCCUAACACAUGCAAGUCGUACGAGAGUUUUUAACUCUAGUGGCGGACGGGUGAGUAACACGUGAGAAUUUACCUUUAGGAGGGGGAUAACAAUUGGAAACGAAUGCUAAUACCCCAUAUGCUUUUGAGUGAAAUGGAUUUAUAAUUAUCUGCCUAAAGAAAAGCUCGCGGCUGAUUAGCUUGUUGGUAAGGUAAGAGCUUACCAAGGCGACGAUCAGUAUCUGGUUUGAGAGGACGAUCAGACACACUGGAACUGAGACACGGUCCAGACUCCUACGGGAGGCAGCAGUGGGGAAUUUUCCGCAAUGGGCGAAAGCCUGACGGAGCAAUACCGCGUGAGGGAAGACUGCCUAUGGGUUGUAAACCCCUUUUUUCAGGGGGGAAUAAAAUGACGUGUACCUGAAGAAUAAGCAUCGGCUAACUCCGUGCCAGCAGCCGCGGUAAG